UUUAAUAUGGCAGAUAAAGUGCAAUGGAAUUAAGAUCCAUAAAUUUAGUUUAUUACUUUUAUUAAAA
rnacentral:tRNA from 1 species